ACACAGUCAGUGACUAAGCGAAAGCGAUAAGUGAUCCACCUGGGGAGUACGAUCGCAAGGUUGAAACUCAAAGGAAUUGACGGGGGCCCGCACAAGCGGUGGAGCAUGUGGUUUAAUUCGAUGAUACGCGAGGAACCUUACCUGGGCUCAAAUGUAAGUUGACAAAUCCUGAAAGGGGUCUUUCUUCGGACAAUUUACAAGGUGCUGCAUGGUUGUCGUCAGCUCGUGCCGUGAGGUGUCGGGUUAAGUCCCAUAACGAGCGCAACCCCUACUCUUAGUUGCCAGCAUGUAAUGAUGGGGACUCUAGGAGAACUGCCUACGCAAGUAGAGAGGAAGGUGGGGAUGACGUCAAAUCAGCACGGCCCUUACGUCCAGGGCUACACACGUGCUACAAUGGCCGGUACAGAGGGCAGCCACCUGGUGACAGGGAGCGAAUCUCAAAAGCCGGUCUCAGUUCGGAUCGAAGUCUGCAACCCGACUUCGUGAAGCUGGAAUCGCUAGUAAUCGCGCAUCAGCCAUGGCGCGGUGAAUACGUUCCCGGGCCUUGCACACACCGCCCGUC
rnacentral:rRNA from 1 species